rnacentral:rRNA from 1 species
GGUGGUGCUUGCACCGCCUGAUUAGUGGCGAACGGGUGAGUAACACGUGAGUAACCUGCCCCUCACUUCGGGAUAACCUCGGGAAAUCGUGGCUAAUACCGGAUACGAACACUCAUCGCAUGGUGGGUGUUGGAAAGAUUUAUCGGUGGGGGAUGGACUCGCGGCCUAUCAGUUUGUUGGUGAGGUAGUGGCUCACCAAGGCGAUGACGGGUAGCCGGCCUGAGAGGGCGACCGGCCACACUGGGACUGAGACACGGCCCAGACUCCUACGGGAGGCAGCAGUGGGGAAUAUUGCACAAUGGGCGAAAGCCUGAUGCAGCGACGCCGCGUGAGGGAUGACGGCCUUCGGGUUGUAAACCUCUUUCAGUAGGGAAGAAGCGAGAGUGACGGUACCUGCAGAAGAAGCGCCGGCUAACUACGUGCCAGCAGCCGCGGUAAUACGUAGGGCGCAAGCGUUGUCCGGAAUUAUUGGGCGUAAAGAGCUUGUAGGUGGCUUGUCGCGUCUGCCGUGAAAACCCGAGGCUCAACCUCGGGCGUGCGGUGGGUACGGGCAGGCUAGAGUGUGGUAGGGGAGACUGGAACUCCUGGUGUAGCGGUGAAAUGCGCAGAUAUCAGGAAGAACACCGAUGGCGAAGGCAGGUCUCUGGGCCAUUACUGACACUGAGAAGCGAAAGCAUGGGUAGCGAACAGGAUUAGAUACCCUGGUAGUCCAUGCCGUAAACGUUGGGCACUAGGUGUGGGGGACAUUCCACGUUUUCCGCGCCGUAGCU